UACGAAGGUGGCAAGCGUUACUCGGAAUUACUAGGCGUAAAGGGCAGGUAGGUGGUUUGAUAAGUCUGUUGUGAAAGCUCCCGGCCCAACUGGGAGAGGUCAACAGAAACUAUCAGGCUUGAGUAUGGGAGAGGGUACUGGAAUUCCUGGUGUAGCGGUGAAAUGCGCAGAUAUCAGGAGGAACACCGGUGGCGAAGGCGGGUCUCUGGGCCGAUACUGACGCUGAGGAGCGAAAGCGUGGGGAGCGAACAGG
rnacentral:rRNA from 1 species